GUCUUUUUGAUUAUUAUUUAAAGUCUAAUCUGCCCAAUGAUUUAUUAAAUGGCUGCGGUAUUUUGACCGUACAAAGGUAGCAUAAUAAUUAGUUUCUUAAUUGGAAACUGGUAUGAAUGAUUGGACGAGAAAAUAGCUGUCUCAUUUUAAUUUUUUUAGAAUUUUACUUUUAAGUUAAAAUGCUUAAAUGUUUUUAAAAGACGAGAAGACCCUAUAGAGUUUAAUAUUAAUUAGUUUGUUAUUAAAUUUGGUAAUUUUUUUUAUUUUAUAUUAAUUAUUAUUUUGUUGGGGUGACAGAAAAAUUUAAUUAACUUUUUUUAUUUUUAUUUCAUUAAUUUAUGUUUAUUUGAUCCUUAUUUUUGAUUAGAAGAUUCAAUUACCUUAGGGAUAACAGCGUAAUUUUUCUUGAAAGUUCUUAUUGAAAGAGAAGAUUGCGACCUCGAUGUUGGAUUUAAAA
rnacentral:rRNA from 1 species